ACAAGAGACUUACCCAGACAGGAGGAAAAGCUGUCAAGCAUGAGAGAACACAGAAAAUGUUUAAAGGUUCCAGCGGGGAGAGAGAGAAGUGACUUUCAGCAUGACAGAGCACAGGCCUGAGUAGUUCAUCCACUGGAUAGUCUCAGCAAAAGACCUGCAUAAUGGGGAGCACGAGCUGAGAACUGCUCCAGACUUGCAUCACAGACUGUCCCUUGCACACACACACACUCGAAGGUGCACCAGUACCUCUGCCAGCUGCAGCACCACGGUGUGAUCCAUAUUGAGCUCAGCUGGAACAGACUGAAUGAAGAGAAGUCCAGAGUCCAGUUCACAGGACCUAGCCACCCUCACCUCCAUUCCGAUGCUUCAGCGCCAGGCACACUUCGAUAAUUUGGACACCUAGUUCGUAAUAGAAGUCCCCCACGCCCAGC
rnacentral:lncRNA from 1 species